AUUGAACGCUAGCGGGAUGCUUUACACAUGCAAGUCGAACGGCAGCGCGGACUUCGGUCUGGCGGCGAGUGGCGAACGGGUGAGUAAUGUAUCGGAACGUGCCCAGUAGCGGGGGAUAACUACGCGAAAGCGUAGCUAAUACCGCAUACGCCCUACGGGGGAAAGCAGGGGAUCGUAAGACCUUGCACUAUUGGAGCGGCCGAUAUCGGAUUAGCUAGUUGGUGAGGUAACGGCUCACCAAGGCGACGAUCCGUAGCUGGUUUGAGAGGACGACCAGCCACACUGGGACUGAGACGCGGCCCAGACUCCUGCGGGGGGCAGCAGUGGGGAAUUUUGGACAAUGGGGGCAACCCUGAUCCAGCCGUCCCGCGUGUGCGAUGAAGGCCUUCGGGUUGUAAAGCACUUUUGGCAGGAAAGAAACGUCGCGGGCUAAUACCCCGUGGAACUGACGGUACCUGCAGAAUAAGCACCGGCUAACUACGUG
rnacentral:rRNA from 1 species